CUUUUUUAUUUGCAUUGCGUUUAUUUUUUAUUUACAGCUUAUACAUUUUUAUUAGUGUGUUCAAUUAUUUUUUUGUGUGUAUAUUUUUAUGUUUGUGUGUGACCCUUGUGAGCCACCGUAAGAUGAUGAUAUGGCUAUGUCGUAAGCUUUGGAAAACCCUCCUUUUGACUUCAGGCUACUGGCUUUAGCAGUAGAACAUGGCAUAGAUAAUUG